AGUGAACGCUGGCGGUAGGCCUAACACAUGCAAGUCGAACGGCAGCACAGUAAGAGCUUGCUCUUACGGGUGGCGAGUGGCGGACGGGUGAGGAAUACAUCUGAAUCUACUUUUUCGUGGGGGAUAACGUAGGGAAACUUACGCUAAUACCGCAUACGACCUACGGGUGAAAGCAGGGGAUCUUCGGACCUUGCGCGAUUGAAUGAGCCGAUGUCGGAUUAGCUAGUUGGCGGGGUAAAGGCCCACCAAGGCGACGAUCCGUAGCUGGUCUGAGAGGAUGAUCAGCCACACUGGAACUGAGACACGGUCCAGACUCCUACGGGAGGCAGCAGUGGGGAAUAUUGGACAAUGGGCGCAAGCCUGAUCCGGCCAUACCGCGUGGGUGAAGAAGGCCUUCGGGUUGUAAAGCCCUUUUGUUGGGAAAGAAAAGCAGUAGGUUAAUACCCCGCUGUUCUGACGGUACCCAAAGAAUAAGCACCGGCUAACUUCGUG
rnacentral:rRNA from 1 species